rnacentral:rRNA from 1 species
GUAGGGGACGAGCGUUGUCCGGAUUCAUUGGGCGUAAAGAGCGCGUAGGCGGCUCGGAAAGUCGGUCGUGAAAUCCUGGGGCUCAACCCCGGAACUGCGUCCGAUACUUCCGAGCUGGAGGCAGGUAGGGGAGAUCGGAAUUCCUGGUGUAGCGGUGAAAUGCGCAGAUAUCAGGAGGAACACCGGUGGCGAAGGCGGAUCUCUGGGCCUUGCCUGACGCUGAGGCGCGAAAGCUAGGGGAGCGAACAGGAUUAGAUACCCUGGUAGUCCUAGCCGUAAACGUUGGGUGCUAGGUGUGGGCGGAUAUCGACCCCGUCCGUGCCGAAGCUAACGCAUUAAGCACCCCGCCUGGGGAGUACGGCCGCAAGGCUAAA